UACAGAGGGUGCGAGCGUUGUUCGGAAUUACUGGGCGUAAAGCGCGCGCAGGCGGCCUUUUAAGUCUCGUGGUGAAAUGCCGGGGCUCAACCCCGUGCCCGCCGGAGAUACUGGGAGGCUGGAGACACGUAGAGGCAAGCGGAAUUCCGGGUGUAGCGGUGGAAUGCGUAGAGAUCCGGAAGAACACCGGAGGCGAAGGCGGCUUGCUGGGCAUUGUCUGACGCUGAGGCGCGAAAGCGUGGGGAGCGAACAGG
rnacentral:rRNA from 1 species